CACACCUGGUUUCAAAACACCAAGAUUGUGAUAGUGAAAAAGCUUUAAAACCAAUUUGUAGCGUCACAGGCGCAAUGACAACUUUUAUACUGUGUGCACUACUUCGGCAGGCUGGACCAGAGCUGCUCCUCGGACACUUCUGAAACAUAAGUGUUGAGUUGGGACAGUCGAGCCUGCAGAUGCACCGGAAUCUGCAGGAGCUGGAAUCCAACCAGCGUAUUCCAAAAAGAAGGAACUAAAAGCCUCUGAGCGCCGUACCACAGGGGGCUCAACUCACUGUGUUUUAACACACAAAGAGACAGAGAGAGAGAAAAUGACCAAAUUUCCAAACGUCUGUGCAGCACUUGGAUAAACUGACUCAAAUGUCGAGCUCUCGGUGCCACCGAGCCAGAGAAGAGCACCGAACAGAGGGAACAACAGGUCAUCAGCCAGUUUAUUUCAGUAGAGACCAACAAAAUGUACAAUGAGCAGAGCCAAUCAGGGAGCGAGAAACCUUCUAGCCAAAAUAACACAGUGCAGAUGCUUCUCCAGAAAUGGUUUCAUGAUUCUGCUCAAGGAGACACAGCUGAGAGAGAAUCGAUAUGUUUUUGAUAUAAGCCUGAACUCUUUUGCUAGAAAUUGCUGUGGAGUGUGUGUGUGUGUGUGUGUGUGUGUGUGUGUGUGUGUGUGUGUGUGUGUGUGUGUGUGUGUGUGUAAAUCUGUGGGCUUAGAUGGAGCGCAGGAGUCCAGAGAAAGGUGGCCUCAUUGCAAAGCGUUCCACCGUGCAAAUCCGAAUUUUUAUUGUAUUGAAUCUUUAUUUUAAAUGUGUUAAGAUAGAAUAACAACAACAACAGAGAAAAAGAGACAAACAAACAAAACAAAAAGAAAACAAAGCAAUAAUAAUUAUAAAUAACUCACAUGUUCAAAAAGACUGGGAAGAAUCAUGAGCUUAUUUAAUUCCACCCCCACCAUUCAGUAACUGAUAGUCUACACUUGUUCUUCCAUCAUCAAUCCUUCAUUACAAUUUGUUACAUGUAGGUUUUAUGCUUUUAUAAUCCCAGUAACACGUCAAAAGAUAUGCACAUUUACAGAUAUAUGUACUUAUAUAAACAUACAUGUGCACCCACACACAUAUAUGCACAUCCCUAUUGUGAAAAUGGUGGGAACACCCAAUCAGAGCCCUCUCUGUAGUUUUGAACCGCUUUUUAAACUGGUUCAUGCUGAUACGUUGCUUCAGUUCUUCACAUCCACAGCUUCAAAUUCAGAGCAUAACAGCUGACCUGCAGGAUGUCUGUUUACUGAAUACUUGAUGAAUCCCAAAGGAAACAAUGUCAGUGAUCUGUGAGAUAAAGUUACUGUGCAACAUGUGGAACUGUGUGCAGAAGUCAGUAGUACUUCUUAUAAGACUCAGACAUUAACACACUUAAGAGCUCUCUUAAAUACCUGUAAAUGAAAAAACUACAUAUACAGUACAUGAUGGUCAAACUGUGUGAGAAUUGCUGAAAAGACAUUUACUGUAGAUGCUUUUCUUUCCCAGCAGCAUCUGAAACAUUGCAAACCAGUGGAAGGAAUCCCAGUACAACAUGCACACGGACUGGGAUUCUCUCAGUUCU
ensembl:lncRNA